ACAGUCACACAUUAGAUACCCGGGUAGUCCCAGCCCUAAACGAUGCGCGUUAGGUGUAUCGGUGACCACGAGUCACCGAGGUGCCGAAGGGAAACCGUGAAACGUGCCGCCUGGGAAGUACGGUCGCAAGGCUGAAACUUAAAGGAAUUGGCGGGGAGCACCACAACGGGUGGAGCCUGCGGUUUAAUUGGACUCAACGCCGGGAAGCUCACCGGAUAAGACAGCGGAAUGAUUGCCGGGCUGAAGACCCUGCAUGACCAGCUG
rnacentral:rRNA from 1 species